rnacentral:ncRNA from 1 species
UGCUUAUGGAUCGGGUGCCCUUCGAAGAGGCUGAGAUUUGAAACCGUUUGGACUGGAACACGGUAAUGCGUGCGUCAGGAAAUAAAGCAAUAAGAAU